rnacentral:rRNA from 1 species
AGCAGCCGCGGUAAUUCCAGCUCCAAUAGCGUAUAUUAAAGUUGUUGCAGUUAAAAAGCUCGUAGUUGAAUUUCGGGGUCAGUAGGUUGGUCGUGCCACCGGUACGUACUGGUCUCACUGAUUCCUCCUUCCUGAAGAACCGUAAUGCCAUUAAUUUGGUGUUGCGGGGAAACAGGACUGUUACUUUGAAAAAAUUAGAGUGUUUAAAGCAGGCUAACGCUUGAAUACAUUAGCAUGGAAUAAUGAAAUAGGACGAUCGAUCCUAUUUUGUUGGUUUCUAGGAUUGACGUAAUGAUUAAUAGGGAUAGUUGGGGGCAUUAGUAUUCAAUUGUCAGAGGUGAAAUUCUUGGAUUUAUUGAAGACUAACUACUGCGAAAGCAUUUACCAAGGAUGUUUCAUUAAUCAAGAACGAAGUUAGGGGAUCGAAGACGAUCAGAUACCGUCGUAGUCUUAACCAUAAACUAUGCCGACUAGGGAUCGGAUGAUGUUAAUUUUAUAAUGACUCAUUCGGCGCCUUACG